GAAGAAACAAGCGUCAAUAAAGUUGCUUCUUUUUAGUUCAUAAUGCGUUAUCACAGAAAUCUCAAAAAUUCCGUACCAUUUCAUGCUUCAACAUAAAAAGCACUCCUUUUUCUCGAUCUAACUCUCCAAAUUUCUGAAUAACUGGUGCUUCUGACUCGGGGUUUGAGGUGUCAGUACCUUUUUUUAUUUCUAUGACUAUAAUCACCUUUAUUAGUACCGACGAACUUGUGAGUGGAUUUCUUACAUUUUAAUUGCCCGAUUUCAUCACCAAGAAGCAAUUUCAUCUUGAAAUACUACAACUUUUGUCGUAUAUCGCAAGAAUCGAUUUGGUUGUUGAAAUGGGUAAUGAGAAAAACUUUCACCACGAAGGUAGGAACGUGUCCUUUUAAAGGGCAAAUUUUAAAACCAUUUUAAAAAACCUUACAAGGUAAAAUAAAAAAAAGAAUGAAUUGUCAAUUUAAUUUAGGAAAUGUCAUUUAUUGAAUGGAUAAUUUAGCUUAUCGAUAAAAAAAGGUUGUAAACGGACUAAUCGCUCACAUGUACUUGAAUAUAAGAAGAAUUGUAAUAUAUCAUUUUCUAUAGAAUAAGUGCUCGUCAAAGGAAACUGAGUUUUGCAGCUGAUUCAUUUAAUUGAAAGUUUACAACGUUAGCGUGUCAAGUUGCCUUAUCAAUGAAUGGGAUUUAAAUAAUUUCUUAAACAGUUAUUUUUUUUAUAGGAAUAAAGCAAGGUGGAAAAACAUAGUUUGGUCAGUAAGUAUACGAGAAGAAGUUUGAACUAUGUAACAGCUUCAAAUGUUUAUCGAUAAUGAAGUUAGAGCGCUCUACGAAAUA